AUUGAACGCUGGCGGCAUGCUUUACACAUGCAAGUCGAACGGUAACAGGGAGCUUGCUCCGCUGACGAGUGGCGAACGGGUGAGUAAUGCGUCGGAACGUGCCGAGUAGUGGGGGAUAACGCAGCGAAAGUUGUGCUAAUACCGCAUACGUACUGAGGUAGAAAGUGGGGGACCUUCGGGCCUCACGCUAUUCGAGCGGCCGACGUCUGAUUAGCUAGUAGGUGAGGUAAAGGCUCACCUAGGCGACGAUCAGUAGCGGGUCUGAGAGGAUGGUCCGCCACACUGGGACUGAGACACGGCCCAGACUCCUACGGGAGGCAGCAGUGGGGAAUUUUGGACAAUGGGCGAAAGCCUGAUCCAGCCAUGCCGCGUGUCUGAAGAAGGCCUUCGGGUUGUAAAGGACUUUUGUCGGGGAGGAAAUCCCCAGCGCUAAUACCGCUGGGGGAUGACAGUACCUGAAGAAUAAGCACCGGCUAACUACGUGCCAGCAGCCGCCGUAAAAC
rnacentral:rRNA from 1 species